rnacentral:rRNA from 1 species
CCUACGGGAGGCAGCAGUAGGGAAUUUUCCGCAAUGGGCGAAAGCCUGACGGAGCAAUACCGCGUGAGGGAUGACUGCCUAUGGGUUGUAAACCUCUUUUUUCAGGGAGGAAUAAAUGACGUGUACCUGAAGAAUAAGCAUCGGCUAACUCCGUGCCAGCAGCCGCGGUAAGACGGAGGAUGCAAGUGUUAUCCGGAAUCACUGGGCGUAAAGCGUCUGUAGGUGGCUCAACAAGUCAACUGUUAAAUCUUGAAGCUCAACUUCAAAAUCGCAGUCGAAACUAUUGAACUAGAGUAUAGUAGAGGUAAAGGGAAUUUCCAGUGGAGCGGUGAAAUGCGUAGAGAUUGGAAAGAACACCAAUGGCGAAGGCACUUUACUGGGCUAUUACUGACACUCAGAGACGAAAGCUAGGGUAGCAAAUGGGAUUAGAUACCCCAGUAGUCCUAGCCGUAAACAAUGGAUACUAGGUGUUGAACAGAUCGACCUGUGCAGUACUAAAGCUAACGCGUUAAGUAUCCCGCCUGGGAAGUAUGCACGCAAGUGUGAAACUCAAAGGAAUUGACGGCUGAGAGNGCGACGACGACGACGAGGGAGAGG